CGACGGCCUGUAGAACUGCAUUUGCGGGGGUAAAUGUUUUUCAAUCCUCGUUUUGUGCACCUGGACAGGGGUGCCCAGGAUUUCAAGCCGGGGAUGUGCUGCGAUCCAAAAUCCAGAAAGUGGACGUAACUGGUGUGUUUGGAAUGGCGUGCAGGCACAAGCAUCCGCUGAAGUUCCUGAACCUGAAGAGAUGAGAGAAGUUUGUGGAUGGUUGGAUGCUUCAGAUGUAUAGCUGAUGUAUGACAUUGGCUAUGAUGACUGAUGUUGAACUGUCAUUUCAGGCUUGCAAAUGCUGUGUUCCUACUGGGGACCUGAAAGCAAUGCAGGGACCAAACAUCACAACGUUUCUUCACUAUGACAUUGCUUUCCAGCUGAAGCCUCAUUUACAGAAAAACAGUCCCGAUCUGAUUGUGGACCCCACAUUUGCAGUGCCAGCCUUUCAACCCUAUGCUCAUAAUGCUAACUGUCAGGUCACUGAUGGUACCAGGUAUGUGACUGGUAGUGCGCUUGCUGACAGAACAGAUGGAGAGGUUGUUCUACCGUGGAAAAUUUGAAAGACCACAAAAGAGAUGACACCAUCUCAUAGUGUUGACACCCUAACCGAUGCCCUCUAUUACAUGGUCUGGGAGAAGCAAGGUAUCAAUGUAUAACAGGAAAUCACAACGGCAAUACAACUCUGUCAGCAGAAGGUCCUGAAGGAGGAAACUGAGGCAAAGGAGGAGUUGUUGUGGCACUAGACAGCAUUCCAGGCAGCACACUGUCGGACGUGGAAGUUUGGACCCGUAAGAUAAAGGAAACCCUCACAGACAAGAGGACGUUGUCCCUUACCUGGCAGGAGAGAGACAUGGAAACUCUGGCGGAGCAACAUCGAGUCCCAUGCACAAACUAUUGCUGUGCAGCUCUCCAGAAAAGUCAGGUGGACAUCAGAGAGAGUAAAAAACAGAUCAACUCCUACAAUGGAGGGAACAAGUCACCUCAAUUCCCCCUAAGACUGGAGUACAUGGAUGUUCUCCAGCAAGACCAUCCAGUCUGGUCCCAGGUGUCCAAACGUUUGGGGGAUAGUCUGCUCUGGGCCAUGCAGCGUGCAGUGAUGCUGCACAAGGUCCUAAACGAUAUCAUAACCGCCAUCGAUAAAAGACUGUACUGUGCAGCCAACUUCAUCGACCUGGCCAAGGCUUAUG